GUGGACAUCCCCGCAGCCUGCCCACCCCCCCUCAACCACACCGUCGUACAAGUGAACAAAAACGCCAACCCAGACCCACUGCCAAAAAAAGAGGAAGAGAAGAAGGAGGAGGAGGAAGACGACCGUGGGGAAGACGGCCCUAAGCCAAUGCCUCCCUAUAGCUCCAUGUUCAUCCUGUCCACGACCAACCCCCUUCGCCGCCUGUGCCAUUACAUCCUGAACCUGCGCUACUUUGAGAUGUGCAUCCUCAUGGUCAUUGCCAUGAGCAGCAUCGCCCUGGCCGCCGAGGACCCUGUGCAGCCCAACGCACCUCGGAACAACGUGCUGCGAUAUUUUGACUACGUUUUUACAGGCGUCUUUACCUUUGAGAUGGUGAUCAAGAUGAUUGACCUGGGGCUCGUCCUGCAUCAGGGUGCCUACUUCCGUGACCUCUGGAAUAUUCUUGACUUCAUAGUGGUCAGUGGGGCCCUGGUAGCCUUUGCCUUCACGUAAGUCUCCUCGCGAGGCCUCCUCUUGCCUCUUUUCCCCCAACCCCCAGCCUGGGGCCACACAUCGGAUUACAGGACAUGUUCUCAGGGUCUAGGGAUGGGGUGUGUGGGCUCUGGGGACGUGGGAGAUAUCAGCAUGCCACCAGGAAGAGCUUCGAUUGGCUUUUUGCAUGAUGUCCAUGGAGGAAGAAGGAGAAGGGACCCCCCUCCUGCCAACCUUCUACCUCCUCACACAGCAACGGGCCUCAGCCACAUCACUGGCCCCUUGCUGUGCAGCUUCCCGUAGACUAGCCUCGCCGGAACAUCUCAUCCCCCUACUGCUCCACAAGCGCCGCCCAAACCGCUGUCUCUUUGGAAAGCCCCUAAAGAGACAAUCAGGAAAUGAAUGUGCAUGAGAAUUCUGACCCCCUCCCUAUGCCUGAAGGCCCCGUAGUUGUAGACCUGGUGACUCCCUUUGUGUGUCUUUCACUUCUCCUGGCAGUCCUAGGAUUCUCUGCCCUCUGAAAGGCCAUAUGUCAUCAUGCAGCUCCAAGAUGGCGCCCCAGUUGUAGGCAGCCAUUUCAGGAUGGCACCCAAGCACUUAGUAGUCAUCCCAAGAUGGCAUCCAAGUUCUGGGUGGCCAUUCCAAGAUGACCCCUGAGUUCUGAGCUAUCAUUCCAAGAUGGCCUCUGAAUUUGGUGUGGUCAUUCUUAGAUGGUCCCUGAGUUCCAAGGUGACCUUCAAGUUCUGGGUAGCCAUUCCAGGAUGGCCCCCAAGCUCUGGGUGGCUAUUCCAAGAUGGCCCCAAGUUCUAGGCAGCCAUUGCAAGAUGGCCCCUGAGUUCCGGGGUGGCCCCCAAGUUCUCGGCAACCAUUCCAAGGUGGCAUCCAAGUUCUGGGUGGCUAUUCCAAGAUGGCCUCUGAGUUCUGGGCUACCGUGCUAAGAUGGACCCUGGAUUCUUGGUGGCCAUUCUUACAUGGUCCCUGAGUUCCAAGGUGGCCUUCAAAUUCUGGGUAGCCAUUCCAAGAUGGUCCCCAAGUCUUGGAUGGCUAUUCCAAGAUGACCCCCAAGUUCUGGGCAGCCAUCUCAAGGUGGCACCCUAGUUCUGGGUAACCAUUCCAAAAUGGCACCCAAGUUCUAGGGCAACCAUUUCAAAAUGGCCCCCAAGUUCUGGGUGACUAUUUCAAGAUGGUACCCAACAGGUGAGUGGCCAUUAGCCCUUAGGGCCCUGAUAGCAGACUUAGCAGUACAUUCCUGAAGUUGUAGACAUUUAGAGCAGGAUGAAAAAUAUCUAAUCAGUCUUUAAUCAAGAAACAAAUCUUAGGGACCCUGGCUGUGCCCAUCAUGGUGAAUCAUUCCCUUACAGGUUUUGAAAGGAUCUUGACAAAUUCACUCCCAUAGUGAGAAAAUCAGGGGCUUCCUCCUGUGCCUCUGCCUCUAGGCUCCCUCCUCAGCCAAUCUGGAGGGGCCCUUGAAUGGUUUCCUCACCAAACAAUGAGGACUUGGUUGUCAGGAGGGCCAAAAUAGUGGCCCAUUUCCAGUUGAAGGGCUAUAAAGUAAGCCACACUUAGAUUCUUCUCUGGGAACACAAUGAGAUCAAGUCGUGUUAGAACAAAAAAUCUCCAGAGUUUCUGGAUGCCUCAGAGCUGGAGAUGUGUCAUGAAGGCUGGGAGGCCGAUUAUACUUCUUUCUCUUUCUCUUUCACUCCUUCCUCCUCUUUCUCUCCUCUCUUUUUGUUCGUUUACUCUUUUCUUUUUCUCUCUCCUCCUCUCCCUCCCCACGUCCUUCCCUCUCCUCAAAGCUUUUCAGUGUCUAUUUGACUACUAGAGCAAUGCACGGUGGCUUACACCUGCAAUCCCAGCACUUUGGGAGGCUGAGAUAGGCAGAUUGCUUGAGCCAAGGAGGCCAAGACCAGCCUGGGUAACAUAGGGAGACCCCAUCUCUGAAAAAAAAACGAUUAGCCACGCAUGGUAGUAUGCCUGCAGUAGCAGCUACACGGUAGGCUGAGAUGGGAGAAUUGCUUGAGCCCAGGAGGUUCAAGGCUGCAGUGAGCCGAAAUCACACCACUGCACCCCAGUCUGGGGAACACAGGAAGAACUUGCCUCAAAAAAAUAAAAAGUUUAAAAAUUUAAAAAUCAAUGAAUUUGCUAUUUAGAAUAUUAUGCUUUAUGUGGUUACUGAAUAAUUUUAAUAGUGCUGAGUACCAGAAAAAACAGGUUUAGCAAGCUGUUCUGUAGGUUAAAAAGUAAAUAAAUAAAUAAAUAAAUAAAAUACGAUGCACAUCAAAUUAAGGGACAAAGAUUGUGACAGAUAAGACAAGGAGUCCAUGUCUUUAAACUAUGAAAAGCAGUUGCAAAUCAAUAAGAAAC
rnacentral:sRNA from 1 species